AAAGUUUCUUGGUAGUAAAAACAAAAUGACUACUGGAAAUGAUUUAUUAAUUCUGUAGUUUUCAAUAAAUAUCCUUGAAACUUGGAACUACCUCAGGAUUUGUGGAUAGCAUCAGUUAUUUGUUCUUGUUUGUAUUGGAAAGUAAAACCAGGAUUUCAACCCUAGGCCAGGCACACAUGAGAAGAGUCUUGCCACCUGACUACCUGAGUCCUCAUUCAGUUUAUCAUUGAGAGACCGUGAUAAAGUUUUUGCUUUUUGGUUGCUAUGAUGUUUGCUGAGUUGCAAACCUUUUCUCUUUUUAUCCCUUUUCAUAUGGAUCACUUUUCUUCCCAACUUAUUUUUCUUUCAUUAAUUUUAUUUGUUUUAGGACACGAGCAAGAAGUCGCCAAUGGAACUGAUCAACGAGGUACCUCCAAUCAAGGUUGAUGGUCGCAUUGCCGUCUGUGAAGGGCUUCUGAAGGUGUUGGACUUGGCCACCCAAUCGAGUACAUCUGCCUUGAUUUGGAGGCACCUAAUGUGUGCAAGUACUGUGGUCUCCGUUAUGAUCAAGUUCACCAUCACUAAAUUGGGAAGAUACUGCUGUCUACCGCUGCAGAAGCUGAGUUGAGGAGUUUAUGUGCACACACAUUUGUUUCACAAUGUUCUGUAGUGUACUUUGUACUAUCCUUGCGGGCAAAAUAUUACCUUUGAUGAUCAUCCUCUUCUCGGGCGAUCUUUUAUUAAUCCUGUCUUAGUAUGGUUCAUUUUUCUACAGAUGAAUUUUGCUCCUUUUUCAGAAUCUAUACAAGCUGUGUCUAUUGAAGUUUUACUCUGAAUAAGCAUGGAACUAACUCUGAGGGCAAUUUAA